CAGUCGCCGCGGGAAUACGGAAGGAGCUAGCGUUGUUCGGAGUUACUGGGCGUAAAGCGCACGUAGGCGGCUUUGUAAGUUAGAGGUGAAAGCCUGGAGCUCAACUCCAGAAUUGCCUUUAAGACUGCAUCGCUUGAAUCCAGGAGAGGUGAGUGGAAUUCCGAGUGUAGAGGUGAAAUUCGUAGAUAUUCGGAAGAACACCAGUGGCGAAGGCGGCUCACUGGACUGGUAUUGACGCUGAGGUGCGAAAGCGUGGGGAGCAAACAGGAUUAGAUACCCCUGUAGUCCCUGUCUCUUAUAU
rnacentral:rRNA from 1 species